rnacentral:rRNA from 1 species
GACAGAGGGUGCAAACGUUGCUCGGAAUCACUGGGCGUAAAGGGCGUGUAGGCGGGAAGGAAAGUCGGGCGUGAAAUCCCUGGGCUCAACCCAGGAACUGCACUCGAAACUUCUUUUCUUGAGUGCCGGAGAGGAAAGCGGAAUUCCUGGUGUAGAGGUGAAAUUCGUAGAUAUCAGGAGGAACACCAGUGGCGAAGGCGGCUUUCUGGACAGUGACUGACGCUGAGACGCGAAAGCCAGGGGAGCGAACGGG